UACGGAAGGCAGCAGUGGGGAAUAUUGCACAAUGGGCGCAAGCCUGAUGCAGCCAUGCCGCGUGUAUGAAGAAGGCCUUCGGGUUGUAAAGUACUUUCAGCGGGGAGGAAGGCGAUGCGGUUAAUAACCGCGUCGAUUGACGUUACCCGCAGAAGAAGCACCGGCUAACUCCGUGCCAGCAGCCGCGGUAAUACGGAGGGUGCAAGCGUUAAUCGGAAUUACUGGGCGUAAAGCGCACGCAGGCGGUCUGUUAAGUCAGAUGUGAAAUCCCCGGGCUUAACCUGGGAACUGCAUUUUGAAACUGGCAGGCUUGAGUCUUGUAGAGGGGGUAGAAUUCCAGGUGUAGCGGUGAAAUGCGUAGAGAUCUGGAGGAAUACCGGUGGCGAAGGCGGCCCCUGGGACAAAGACUGACGCUCAGGGUGCGAAAGCGUGGGGAGCAAACAGGGAUUAGGAUACC
rnacentral:rRNA from 1 species